AGUGAACGCUGGCGGUAGGCCUAACACAUGCAAGUCGAACGGCAGCACAGUAAGAGCUUGCUCUUACGGGUGGCGAGUGGCGGACGGGUGAGGAAUACAUCGGAAUCUACUUUUUCGUGGGGGAUAACGUAGGGAAACUUACGCUAAUACCGCAUACGACCUACGGGUGAAAGCAGGGGAUCUUCGGACCUUGCGGGAUUGAAUGAGCCGAUGUUGGAGUAGCUAGUUGGCGGGGUAAAGGCCCACCAAGGCGACGAUCCGUAGCUGGUGUGAGAGGAUGAUAAGCCACACUGGAACUGAGACACGGUCCAGACUCCUACGGGAGGCAGCAGUGGGGAAUAUUGGACAAUGGGCGCAAGCCUGGUCCAGCCAUACCGCGUGGGUGAAGAAGGCCUUCGGGUUGUAAAGCCCUUUUGUUGGGAAAGAAAAGCAGCAGGUUAAUACCCCGCUGUUCUGACGGUACCCAAAGAAUAAGCACCGGCUAACUUCGUG
rnacentral:rRNA from 1 species